rnacentral:rRNA from 1 species
AUUGAACGCUGGCGGCAGGCCUAACACAUGCAAGUCGAACGGUAACAGGAAGAAGCUUGCUUCUUUGCUGACGAGUGGCGGACGGGUGGGUAAUGUCUGGGAAACUGCCUGAUGGAGGGGGAUAACUACUGGAAACGGUAGCUAAAACCGCAUAACGUCGGAAGACCAAAGAGGGGGAGCUUCGGGGCUCUUGCCAUCGGAUGUGCCCAGAUGGGAUUAGCUAGUAGGUGGGGUAACGGCUCACCUAGGCGACGAUCCCUAGCUGGUCUGAGAGGAUGACCAGCCACACUGGAACUGAGACACGGUCCAGACUCCUACGGGAGGCAGCAGUGGGGAAUAUUGCACAAUGGGCGCAAGCCUGAUGCAGCCAUGCCGCGUGUAUGAAGAAGGCCUUCGAGUUGUAAAGUACUUUCAGCGGGGAGGAAGGGAGUAAAGUUAAUACCUUUCCUUAUUGACGUUACCCGCAGAAGAAGCACCGGCUAACUCCGUG